rnacentral:rRNA from 1 species
AUUGAACGCUGGCGGCAGGCCUAACACAUGCAAGUCGAGCGCGAAAGCACUUCGGUGUGAGUAAAGCGGCGACGGGUGAGUAACGCGUAGGAAUCUACCUAGUAUGGGGGACAACCCGGGGAAACUCGAGCUAAUACCGCAUACGCCCUACCGGGGAAAGGCCGGGAUCUUCGGACCGGUCGCUAUUGGAUGAGCCUGCGUAAGAUUAGCUAGUUGGUGGGGUAAAGGCCUACCAAGGCGACGAUCUUUAGCUGGUCUGAGAGGAUGAUCAGCCACACUGGAACUGAGACACGGUCCAGACUCCUACGGGAGGCAGCAGUGGGGAAUAUUGCGCAAUGGGCGAAAGCCUGACGCAGCCAUGCCGCGUGUGUGAAGAAGGCCCUAGGGUUGUAAAGCACUUUCAAUUGGGAGGAAAAGCUAACGACUAAUACUCGUUAGCCCUGACGUUACCUUUAGAAGAAGCACCGGCUAACUCCGUA